UGGAUUCAGCGGCGGACGGGUGAGUAAUGCCUAGGAAUCUGCCUGGUAGUGGGGGAUAACGUCCGGAAACGGGCGCUAAUACCGCAUACGUCCUGAGGGAGAAAGUGGGGGAUCUUCGGACCUCACGCUAUCAGAUGAGCCUAGGUCGGAUUAGCUAGUUGGUGGGGUAAAGGCCUACCAAGGCGACGAUCCGUAACUGGUCUGAGAGGAUGAUCAGUCACACUGGAACUGAGACACGGUCCAGACUCCUACGGGAGGCAGCAGUGGGGAAUAUUGGACAAUGGGCGAAAGCCUGAUCCAGCCAUGCCGCGUGUGUGAAGAAGGUCUUCGGAUUGUAAAGCACUUUAAGUUGGGAGGAAGGGCAGUAAGUUAAUACCUUGCUGUUUUGACGUUACCAACAGAAUAAGCACCGGCUAACUUCGUGCCAGCAGCCGCGGUAAUACGAAGGGUGCAAGCGUUAAUCGGAAUUACUGGGCGUAAAGCGCGCGUAGGUGGUUCAGCAAGUUGGAUGUGAAAUCCCCGGGCUCAACCUGGGAACUGCAUCCAAAACUACUGAGCUAGAGUACGGUAGAGGGUGGUGGAAUUUCCUGUGUAGCGGUGAAAUGCGUAGAUAUAGGAAGGAACACCAGUGGCGAAGGCGACCACCUGGACUGAUACUGACACUGAGGUGCGAAAGCGUGGGGAGCAAACAGGAUUAGAU
rnacentral:rRNA from 1 species